CUGACAGGUGCGUUCUGAUAGUUCCAUUUCUAUCGCUGAGGACUCUGGGCGGUAAGCGGCCCCGAGAUCGCAGAUGAGCCCGUUUGAAGCAGUGGCCUCAAGCUCUCUUAAAUACCGCAGAUUCCCUGCGUCUGUGCGGGGAGUGUGAAGGGCACAGUAAGGCUGCACUGCCUCCAAACAGCAGAAAGCCCCUCUUUGAAGAGCUUGGUCCUCCUCACAUCAUCUUUCCAAGGCAGGGACUUCUCUCCUCAGAGGAUAUUCUGAAGAAGCUCUGCCCUGAGGCGAUUAGGGCUGGGGGCAGCCUAAUCGCAUUCUUGGAGGAAACUGCAUGGUUAUUUGAAAAGCUUGACACCUGCUUAAGCAAAAAGACUGGAAAAAGAACAAGAGGCAGCUUCCGUAGUUAGAAAGCCCAUCUGGGUCACCCUAAGCCAAGUUUUUGGGUAAAUAUGGACAUUUAAAAAUAAAGUGAUGUUACUCUGAUGUCUGUUGAAAUCUAAAAACCAUGGCAAUUUGUUAUCCACCACCUAUUAAAAAAUAUAUUUAAACAA